rnacentral:rRNA from 1 species
UCUGGUGGCAAUAGCGAAGAUGUUACACCUGUUCCCAUCCCGAACACAGUAGUUAAGCUCUUCAGCGCCGAUGAUACUUGGCGGGUGACUGCCCGGGAAAGUAGGACGCUGCCAGUU